rnacentral:rRNA from 1 species
UACGUAGGGUGCAAGCGUUGCCCGGAUUUAUUGGGCGUAAAGGGCGCGUAGGCGGUUCGCUAAGUUGGAUGUGAAAACUCUGGGCUCAACCCAGAGCCUGCAUCCAAAACUGGCGGGCUAGAGUUCUGGAGGGGGUAGCGGAAUUCCUGGUGUAGCGGUGAAAUGCGUAGAUAUCAGGAGGAACACCGGUGGCGAAGGCGGCUACCUGGACAGAAACUGACGCUGAGGCGCGAAAGCUAGGGGAGCAAACGGG